CUUUACUGCAAAGGUUAGAAUACGUGGACGCGAAGAGGUCACAAUUGACAAUCGUUGGGUGGUGCCUUAUUCUCCAUUGCUAUCGAAGAUGUUUUGUGCACAUAUCAAUGUUGAGAACUGUAGUUCUGUUAAGGCAAUAAAAUAUAUUUGCAAAUAUGUCAAUAAGGGCAGUGAUCAAACUAUUAUUAAUUUACGCAGAGAAGGUAGAGGUCCUGACCCUCAAAAUGAGGUGCGAAUGUAUCAGUGUGCCAGAUACAUAAGCAGCAAUGAAGCUGUUUGGCGUCUUCUCAGCUUCCCUUUACACCAACGCCAUCCAGCUGUUAUCCAUUUAGCUGUGCAUCUUGAGAAUGGCGAACGGAUAUAUUUCAAUCAAAACACUCUUGCCGAACACUCUCACUCGAAUGCGUAAUCCACCAAGGACAACCCUGACUGCAUUUUUUUCAUUAUGCCAAACUGAUUCCUUUGCUAGGACCCUGCUCUAUCCAGAUGUUCCCCAAUACUACACUUGGAAUUCUUCUGCCCACGAAUGGAGAAGGCGCGUUCAAGGCAGGCUGGUCGAAGGACGGCCUGGAGUGAAGAGAUCAGACACUAUUGGACGGGUUUACGCUGUGCAUGUCAGUAACUUUGAAUGCUUUUGUUUACGUAUGUUACUACAUAACAUCAAGGAACCAACUUCCUUCGCAUAUUUGAAGAUUGUUAAUGGCAGUCAAUACGAAACAUUUAGAGAAACAUGCGCAGCUCUUGGAUUAUUGGAGAAUGAUAACCAUUGGGUUGUCACAAUGGAUGAGGCCGUUCUUUGUCAGGCUCCUACAAGAGUAAGGCAAUUGUUUGCCAUAUUAAUUUCUACCUGCACAAUUUCGAACCCUCAGCAGUUAUGGAUUACCUAUUGAGAUGAGAUGGCAAGUGAUAUUCUUCAUCGUUAUCAGCUUCUCGAUUCCUCCAUCAGGUAUAAUGAUCUGAUAUAUAAUGAAACAUUGUGUAACAUUGAGAAUCGUGUCGUAUCUAUAUGUGGGAAGAAACUGCAGAAAUUAGGCUUAGGAGCACCCAGGGGAAAUGUGGUUACCAAUUCUGACAUUUUGAGAGAACUUGCGUAUGAUACGGCAGAACUUGAAGACAAUGUUGCAUCCAUGCUGCCCAAACUCUUGCCAGAACAAAGAAGAGUUUUUGAUGCUGUCUUAGCAAAAAUUAAUUUGUCACAACCCAUAAUUAUAUUUUUAGAUGCGCCGUGGGGAACAGUUAAAACAUUUCUUUUGAAUCUUCUAUUAGCAAUGGUUAGGAAGGAACAAAAUAUUGCCAUUGCUGUUGCUUCCUCAGGGAUAGCUGCAACAUUGCUUGCGGGCGGAAGAACUGCACAUUCAGUGCUGAAAUUACCUCUGACUUUUGCAGAGGGCCAGACUGCUGUUUGCAAUAUACGAAAAAAUAGUGAUAAAGCUUCACUCUUACGUAGCUGUAAGUUGCUGGUUUGGGAUGAGUGCACCAUGGCCCAUAAAAUUGCCUUGGAAGCCCUUGAACGGACAUUACAGGAUAUCCGUGAUGAUCCACAACCCAUGGGUGGUUUAGUAGUGCUUUUGGCCGGUGAUUUCCGACAGACUCUUCCAGUAGUCACUAGAGGUACACCUGCUGAUGAGCUGAAUGCCUGUUUAAAGUCUUCUUAUCUUUGGAGCCAUAUUGUGAAAAUGCACCUCACAGUCAACAUGAGAGUUCACCUCCAUAAUGAUACCACUGCUGCACAAUUUGCAGACGAACUCUUAAAGAUAGGAGAAGGUCAACUAGAAACUGAUUCCGAGGGUAAUAUCCAGUUUUCAAAUACUUUUUGCCAAGUGGUGGAAUCUUCAGAAAGUCUGUAUGAAAAAGUUUUCCCUAAUAUAGGUGUAAACUAUUUAUCUGAAGAAUGGUUAUGUGCCCGCACUGUUUUAGCCCCCAAAAAUAGCACUGUGCUAGAAAUAAAUAAUACAAUAUUAAAUUCAAUCCCGGGUGAAAGCAAAAUCUAUAGAUCAAUUGAUACAAUGGUUGAUCCUGAUGAAUCUGUGUCGUGUCCCCCUGAAUUUUUAAAUUCACUAGAAUUGUCUGGCACACCUUCACACAAAAUUGUACUAAAAGUUGGUGUGCCAGUAAUUUUAAUACGAAACCUUGAUCCACCCCGUCUCUGCAAUGGCACUAGAUUAUGCAUCACUCAAAUGGGCACUAAUGUUCUCCAGGCUCGAAUUUUAACUGGCUCUUUUCGAGGGGAAGAGGUCCUUAUUCCUAGAAUACCUAUUAUUCCAAAUGAUCUGCCUUUUAAGUUUAGACGCUUGCAAUUCCCAGUUAUGGUUGCCUUUGCUAUGACAAUUAAUAAAUCUCAGGGUCAAACAUUGCAAGUAGUUGGUGUGCAUCUUGAGUCUCCCUGUUUCUCGCAUGGGCAACUCUAUGUAGCAUGCUCCCGUGUUUCCAGCCCUAAAAAUUUAUUUGUCUUUAGUUCUACUUUUAGGAAGACACGCAAUAUUGUUUAUCAGGGGGCUUUGAUCUAGAUUUUGACAAUUUUUUAAAACACUUCGAGGACGCAGCCUAAGCAGACCUCAUGGUCCACCAGGACGCAGUAAAAACGACACUUUUAUGAAAAAUAAAAUUUAAUAUAUUUAUUUUAGUAAUAUAUGCCAAAUUUAUAAGCCAAUAUAUAUAGGGUUUAAAAUUAUUUUUAAUGCUAUAUAAAAUGAAUUUUGAUAAAGAAAUAAAAAUAAUAAAAAAUUAAAAAUUAUAUUAAAAAAAAACUAAAUUCACUCCAACACAUAGUCAAAUGUUAUAUAUACAAAAAACAUGCUGAAAUUUAGUAAGAACUAUUUAUAAAGGCCAUUUCUAAGAGCCAAUUAGAGCCAAUACUUCUCCUUGGUGUGAAAAGCCUCAAAACAAUCAUUUAUACACAGAGGAACAAGGCAGGUCUUGCACAUAUAAGCAGUGUCCUUCCUUAUUCUUUUUCCAGUGGCACUUUUUCCUUUUUCCGCACAGACUUUGCAUUUUCGUUGGAUAUUUACAUUUGGCUUGUUUUCUUCUUUUAUUCUUGUAAUGAAGUGUCUCUCCAAAAGUCUGGCUUUUGAGCUUGAACUACCAAGUUGUUGAUCUGUGAUCUCAACUCCGGCUUCUUCAACCAGUUUUUCCAUAAUGACAAGAUGGUAGUCUCGGAGUGACAGUUUGGAUGUUGGAUUUAAUUUAUUAUAAAUUAUAUGAGAAUUGACUAUUGUCAGGCCAAAGAUGUGAAAGAAAAGCUUUUUCCACCAUUUCAUAUUUCUCCGCUGAAAAGAGUAGUAAGAGAGGAGCUGGUAACUUCUGUCAACACCAGCCUUGUGCUUGUUGUAGUCCAAUACUGCAGCUGGUUUCAUGGUGAGAGGUUGGUCAGAUUUCCUGGCUUUCUUGGUUACAGGUAUCAUGGCAUGAUCAUGUGCUGUGGAGACCAUGAAAACGUCCCUAGUAUCAUGCCAUUUGAAUGCCAAAAGAGGACCUUUCAUUCUGUAAAUUACCUCUCCUUUUUUCAAUUUUUUGGAAAAUGCAUUUUUUGGCAAGCCUCUUCUAUUUUUUUUAUUGUUCCCACAGCUUGGGUAUUGUUUCUCCAGAGAAAUUGAAAAAGUGUGGUAGAGGAGAACCAUCUGUCAAAGUAUAUAACAUGUCCUCUAUUGAAGUAUGGAGCCGCUAUCCUUUCCACCAGUUUUAAGGUCGAAUUGUAGUCUGCACCUUGACCAGGCUGCUUCCCUGUGUACACUUCUAUGUUGUAGGCAUAUCCUGAACUUGAUUCACAAAGUUCAAAUAUCUUUAUCCCAUAUUUGUGUGGCUUUCCUUUGAUAUAUAUUCUGAACCGUAUUCUUCCUCUAAAAGGACAUAUAGCUUCGUCAAUAGUCAAAGGUUGGCAGGGAUAGUAAUAUGUUUUGAAUUUGUGGACCAGAGGAUCAAGAAAUGUCCUAAUUUUAUAGAGAGGAUCAUGGCCUGGUUGACCAAAAGCCACAUAGGAAGCGUUGUCAUUUAGGUGAAGCAUGGAGAGAAUGGCUUCAAACCGUGGUCUGAUCAUCCCCACAUCUCUGCAGUAAGUUGUCCUAAGUUCACUGCGGGUUGACCAAUAAUCUUUCAAUCUGGUCUUUACAACAACGCUCAUGUGAAUUAUUAUAGCCAUAAAUAUAUUGAGCUCAGACACAGAAACAGCUUUCCACAUUUCUAAAUGACUCCUAGGAUUCAAAGGACCCUUUUUUCUUUCUCUGUCUAUGGUUGCCCUAGCAUAGCGGUUAGUCUCAAGUUUCAGAUUACCAAAAAAAUCCUCAUCAAUAAAUUUUUUGAAUAUCUGGUAAGGAGAGUUGGGUUCUGGAAAUAACUCGGCCCUUGGUCCAGGUUGGGCAGUAAACAGAGGUCUGGGUAUCGUGGAUGUAGUAGUUUCAAUCCAGUCAUCACUUACCAGAGGAGACCUUGUUGUUGCAGGAGCCUCUUCAUCUCUUGGUCCCUCCAAAUAUAUUUCUGUUGAAUCCGAAUCAAUAUCUUCAUCAGAGUUAGCAUGGAGUGUGAAAUCUGGAUCCUCAAAAGAAUCAUCUAAUUCUGAUCCAGAAUCAAAAAGAUGGGGGUCAUACAUCUCCCACUCUGGAGAUGGGCAAGAGGAGAUAACUUUGGAUGUACUGGGCUGAUCAGGAUUCAUUUUUAUCCAAAAAUGUCUAUUGAAAAUAUUAGAAACUUCAAAUAAAAAUAUUAAGCAAAAAAAACGUGACAAGAAGAAGCGCGCAAAGUACAAUUGGCAAAUGACGGCAGAUUAAAAAUAGGUCAGUAGAGGUUGGGAGGGGAGGAAACUCGAGGAAGCGCGCACUCAAAACUCAAUUUAAUUGGUCAGCCAUCCACCCUAUCACGUGGCAAAGUGGUGAACGACCUAGAGGCAUGUUUAAACUUGCAGGGGGGCAAGUGGCCACGGGACGUAGCGCGCGCUAUGAUUUUAUACCGAUUUUUAAGAAAGUAGGACGUUAAUAUACGUCCUGCGGGCACUGUGCCAUUUUCGCGAGGACGUUAAUUGACGCCCUGCGUCCUCGAAGUGUUAAAGAGAUUUCUUCGAAUAAUGAUUUUGGGAAGCUUGACUUUUGUAAAUACAUAAUUUGUAAAUAAUUUGUUAUCAUUAUUGCUCUACUGUAGUUUCAUCAAUAAAGCUUUUUUUACUUUAUUUUAUUUUAAUUUUUUCACAUUUAAUUCAUUUACAUAACUCUAUUCUUGAAUAUAUAUAUUUUUUUAUGGUAUCAACAUUUCUGGUUCAAUUAAGGUUUUUGUUAGCCUGCAACACACCUUAUCAUAGCUCAUUGCAUUUAUCAGGAUAACUUUGCUGUUUUGAUUUUUACACCAUUAGUAUUUUCAUGCCUCUAUAAUAUUAUAUUUGUUUGCAGAAUUUUAUAGACAAUUUGGUUUGGGUUAUGUACAUUAAGAAUUUGUAAAAAUAUAAAGGUCAAAGUUUUACAACAAAAAAAAAUUUUGGAACACCAUUUCUCUCCCAUUUAAUUUAAUGAUGCUUCAUUUAUGAUUUUUAUAAUUGCAUUAUUUUUAUGCAUAUUAUUCUUAAAAAUUUGUGUUAGCAAGACAUGGAAUAUUGUUAAGUUAAUGUAAUAUUAACAGAAACUUUACCAACCCGUGAAGCGUUAGCUCCAGUCUUUUACCGCUGGGGGCAGCACUGUUAGAGCUAAUAAAUGCUUUCGAUUGGUGCUUACUUUUACAUGCUGUUUGUUUUUAGACUAAAUUGAUACACAUCAAGUUAGCAUUUUUUCAUGUUUCAAAAGUUAAGAUUAUAUUUUUAACGUUUCAUAAUACUUUUCAAAUUAAAGCCGGAAAUAAUAUUGCUUUUUCCCAUCCUGCAGGUCUACAUUACAUUGCAACAUGCUAUCAUAACUCUGGCUUUUGGCAUUGAUAUUUAUAUAAUGUGAAAGUACUGUUUGCUACCUUAAGCUCUGGAGAGAUUAUAAUGUGUCUACAGAUCCAUCAUGUGGAAAUCACACCAGAGUGAAAAUGCAUUUAGCUGGUAGCAAUGUAUCACAUUUGUAGACAUGUGGUGCGCUUACAGUAAAAGCAGUCGCUACCUACCCACCAUGGUUAUCAAGGCCUGUACCACGCGUACUAGGGAUAAUUAAAAAAAAAGGAAGCAAGACCGAAUACAAAUAAUUACAUUAUGUGUGGUUUCAAUUACAUUUUGGCUAUCUUAAGACAAAGGUACUGAAUACAUUCAGUAAUUUUGUCUUUAUAUGGCAACAAUGCUGUUACUGAAACAUCACACAUAUAUAUAUAUAUAUAUUUUUUAUUUGGUCUUGCUUUUUUGGUAUUUUUACAAUUGCCCUUGACUAUUAGAAAAUUAUGCAAAUUUCCUUUUUAUUUUAUAUACCAUUUUAAAAAUUAUAUUCUUUUGUUAAAAUAUCCAAUUUCCCACACUUUUCUAAAACUGCAACAAUAACUACAAAAUUCUUCCAAGUCCAGGUAUUUCAAUAUUGCAGAAAUAUAUUACAUUUAUAAAAGUUGCUUAACUAUUUAGAUAUGUAAAUGCCGGAUUAGGUGCCCUUUAAAAUGUUUGCUCUGGCUGUUUCUUCUUGGACAGCCGAGAGUGAAGUGGACAAAGUGAAAUUUUCAGGUUGUGCCGACCAUUUUCCUUUAUUCACACUAAUCAUUAGAUUUUUUUUUUUAUUUUUAAGAAUAAAAGCCCAGUUUGGUUACUUGCACUCACUGGAGGGGUUGGACUUUUUCAAGAAUCAGGAGCCAUUGGGGCAAUUUUUUUUUCAGAACAAAGUGUCUGAAUCUGCAUUCGAUGACCCCGGGUCAUGGUUUUUAAAAAUUAACAGUUUAGACCACUCCUCCAAACAGCACUCUAUUCAUUCGAUGUGUUUGUGAAAUUGAUCCUAUAUUUCAGAUUUUUUUACAAGCAUUUUCGAUAUUGCUGUUUAAAAUUUAUCUCCAUUUUGCUGAAAGAAAAUUCAUUACAUUGAGUUUACAAACAGUUGGGGCCUCUAUUCAUUCAUGAGUAAACCUCGCUCGAACACUACCCAGGCGAAGCCGGGUCCAGUCGGGUAAAACCCGGGCGUUGCCCGGGCCAUUCGGCUAGUAUAUAUAUAUAAUCUAAAAUGCAAAUAUUUUAUUUUUUUAAAAACAUAUAUUUCAUUUUCAUUCAUUGACUGUUGUAUAUUUUUUGACCAUAGAUUUAGAAUAUACCUCUUUAAUUAUUAUUGUUGUAAAUAUGUAUAGUUAACCCUACCUUUUUUUUAAAUCACGAUUAUAGAAUUCAUUCUAUAAAUUCUAUAUUACUGUGAUAAAUAAUUUUAUGUGUAAUUUUACUUCAAGUAAUCCAAAAUAAAAUCUACUUGAAAGGUAAAUAAUUAUCUUUACCUUUUCACGACUGCUCCUCUUUUCAACAACAAAACAAAAAAAAAUCAUAAAAUAUAUAUAUAUGUCGAGUGCUGUCGACUUUACGUGGAAUCCUCUCGACUUUAUGUCGAAUGCUGUCAACUCACUGUCGAAUCCUGUUGAAUGCUUUGGACUCUAUGUCAACUUUCUUCCAUUGAUGUGGUAUUUUGGUUUGCUGUAUUGAGUCGUGGGGUAAGAUGGUGAUUGCGCAGUCGUGAUGGAGGUGAGUGGUAAAGCACACAGAGACGAUUCAAAGGGUAACCCGAAGCAGAACGCAGAGAGAACGCAGCGACCUUGCGGCCGGCGGGCCACCUACUAACGAACUGUCUGCUGCUGCUGUCUGCUAUGUUGCAACACUGAACUGACUAACUCUGAUUGGUUGCGGGCAAGCCCUUUUUAUAUGCUCAAGCGUUACGUCAUCGGACAUCGCGCCGCGGUGUCUGGCGAUUGAUCUCAGGUUUUGGUUUCGGUAGUUUG
rnacentral:piRNA from 1 species